GCAAAACACCAACAACCCUAAAAAUUGAAGCUUUUUGAGAAGGGUGCAUCUUCGAGUUUAGAUCUUCAUCAUCAAAAGGAGGAAGAUCAAAGUGAAGAAAGAAGAAAGAAGAAUGAAGAAGAACAUGAUGAGUCUUUUGAUUGGAAUGAUUGGUGCAACCUUAACUCUAUUUGCUUACUCACAAACCUUAUUAUCACCAAGUCAAUGCAUAACACUUGGUCUUGUUGUCCUCAUGUUGGGUUUGCUUGUAGGAGAAGGUCUUAUAUCUUUCUAAUUCUUCCUUUCUCUUCUUUUUCUCUUUGAGAUAAAACAUGGAUUAAGUGUUGUUUUAAUUGUUCUCUAAUUAGAAAUAAAAUCUUAUCAAUAUAUAGUUUCAUGACAAAACUUAUAUAGGGUAUCUUAAAUACAUGUUGCUUUUCUUUUUUAAUUACAAUUAAAAUUCCAUUUUUAUAAUCUAGCUAAUGAAGAUCUAUAGCAAAAAUAUUAUGUGAUUAUCAAUAAAAUUUCAAUUUCAAAUGAAAAAAAAAAUACAUAUUUGAAUAUUUU
rnacentral:lncRNA from 1 species